ACCAGACUCCUACGGGAGGCAGCAGUGGGGGAUAUUGCACAAUGGGGGGAACCCUGAUGCAGCGACGCCGCGUGGGUGAAGAAGCGCCUCGGCGCGUAAAGCCCUGUCAGCAGGGAAGAAAAUGACGGUACCUGAAGAAGAAGCCCCGGCUAACUACGUGCCAGCAGCCGCGGUAAUACGUAGGGGGCAAGCGUUAUCCGGAUUUACUGGGUGUAAAGGGGGCGCAGACGGCGAUGCAAGCCAGGAGUGAAAGCCCGGGGCCCAACCCCGGGACUGCUCUUGGAACUGCGUGGCUGGAGUGCAGGAGGGGCAGGCGGAAUUCCUGGUGUAGCGGUGAAAUGCGUAGAUAUUAGGAGGAACACCAGUGGCGAAGGCGGCCUGCUGGACGACAACUGACGGUGAGGCGCGAAAGCGUGGGGAGCAAACAGGAUUAGAUACCCUGGUAC
rnacentral:rRNA from 1 species